GCCAACCAGUGCGGGUUUGGGCAGAACAUUAAAAUGGAGUGAUACAGAUUAGCAUGGCCCCCGCACAAGGUUGCCAUGAAAAUUUGUGAAGGGGUUCAUAUUUUU
ensembl:snRNA U6 U6 spliceosomal RNA